rnacentral:lncRNA from 1 species
AGAGUAAGCAUGGACUAAUAUCCAAUUGUUCAAAAUAUUUGAAGAAAUUAAACAAAAGCUCGGUUAUUAGACUUUUGACGAUGUGAAUUUAAGCAUGGAUGCAAUUUGGGUACUCCUCAUUACAGAAUCACGGAUAGUUUGGAGGUUGAUUUAAACCCAUUUUUGUAUGACUCAAUAUGGAUUCAAAAUUAAAUCGGUGUACCUAUACAAUAAAGAAGGGUAGGGCUACAAAAUAAACACAGUAUGGACAUUUUUUUCUUGAUC